rnacentral:rRNA from 1 species
CGGACGGGCGAGUAAUGUCUGGGAAACUGCCUGAUGGAGGGGGAUAACUACUGGAAACGGUAGCUAAUACCGCAUAACGUCGCAAGACCAAAGAGGGGGACCUUGGGCCUCUUGCCAUCGGAUGUGCCCAGAUGGGAUUAGCUAGUAGGUGGGGUAACGGCUCACCUAGGCGACGAUCCCUAGCUGGUCUGAGAGGAUGACCAGCCACACUGGAACUGAGACACGGUCCAG